rnacentral:rRNA from 1 species
AUUGAACGCUGGCGGCAUGCUUUACACAUGCAAGUCGAACGGUAACAGGCCGCAAGGUGCUGACGAGUGGCGAACGGGUGAGUAAUGCAUCGGAACGUGCCCAGUCGUGGGGGCAAACGCAGCGAAAGCUGCGCUAAUACCGCAUACGAUCUAUGGAUGAAAGCGGGGGACCGGAAGGCCUCGCGCGAUUGGAGCGGCCGAUGUCAGAGUAGGUAGUUGGGGGGGUAAAGGCUCACCAAGCCAACGAUCUGUAGCUGGUCUGAGAGGACGACCAGACACACUGGGACUGAGACACGGCCCAGACUCCUACGGGAGGCAGCAGUGGGGAAUUUUGGACAAUGGGCGCAAGCCUGAUCCAGCAAUGCCGCGUGCAGGAAGAAGGCCUUCGGGUUGUAAACUGCUUUUGUACGGAACGAAACGGUCCUGGUUAAUACCUGGGGCUAAUGACGGUACCGUAAGAAUAAGCACCGGCUAACUACGUGCCAGCCGCCGCUGUAACAC